rnacentral:lncRNA from 1 species
AAAGGAUACUUCACACAUGAUGUUUAUAACAUCACUAUCACAUGAUUUUUUUUUUUUUUUUUUGAAAAUGAACAUCCGUUAGAUAUAUAAUUUUUCUUAUGCACUUAAAUAUACCCUAUGUCUAGAUUUAUAGUAAAAUCAAUUAGAGAAAAGGUUGCCCCACUUCAUAUUGAUUAUAAAGUGUUCAAAAUUUUAUGCUCACAACGUUCUGGGCGCGCUUGACAGAAUCCAAAAUGUAAGAAUAAACUAUCCUAACAGCCAUUUACAAACGACCUUUAGCAGAUUGACAGUAGCAGCAUUACUACGAUUACUCUACAGCUCACUUGCUUGUAUCGUCACACUGGUAUAGUCUUGGGACAAAGGUUGAAUAACUGACAAUCCUUUACCACCUGCCAAAGGUAGGGCGGUAGGCAAACAUUUUCAUUGCCGACCGCUUUUAAAAGCAGUCGGCAAAGGAUUCUUUGCCGACUGCCCAACUAUCCUGGCAGGUGGCAAAGAAAGGCAGUCGGCAAAAACGUCCUUUGCCGACUGCCUGGCAGGUGGCAAAGAAAGGCUGGUGGCAAAGGUGUCUGCCUGGCAGGUGGCAAAGAAAAGCUGGUGGCAAAGGUGGCGGCCAACUAACGGCCCCCAUCUCCGUCCCCUUUGCCACCUGCCAAGCCGUUAGGCAGUCGGCAAAGAUAAAAUUUUUUAUUUUUGAAAUUUGAAUUUAGGUUUUAGACAUUCGAUAUCGUCACUUGCUCCAAACAUCCUCAAACUUUUUUCAUAGCCUCCACAUGCAAUAAGAGUGAACCUUAUAAACUUUCGUGAUUUUGUGACCCUUUUUGCUAUAUUGUGUAAAUUAAUUUCUUUUAAUUGUAUUUUCCACCGCAGAAUCCUACUUUGAACUGUAGGUGCAUCAAAUAAUGAAACUUAGCCAUUCGAAAAAUAAUAUUCACGUUGGAGAGUCUAUUUUAAGGUCGUUUCCAGAAACUCACCCAAAAUUUUGACGUCUUUAUCCAUGGAACGUGACCAUCCAGGUGUGGUAUAGGUGAUUUUUAAUUAUAUAAAAUUCAAACAAAGUCGGAAAAUUACGAAACUUGACGAGGUGUCAUGUUAUCACAUGU